UUUUAGCCUCCUCGUUAGCGCGUUCCCCUUCCAUAGUCGAGGUCGCAAGUUCAAGUCAGGACUGUGGAGUGCAACCUUGGGGCUGGUUACAUUGGUGCCAUGACCCGGAUGGGAGUGUGGUUUGGAGAGGUUCUGAGAACUCAUUUUCGGUUGUAUGGGCCUAUCUGCUAAAGCAUGACAGACACAGGCAUGUUGAUACUAACUCUCCUCUCGGCUGGAUGUACAACUCAUUGGCUCGUCUCCCAGACUGACUGAAAUCCAUCCAACUGGGUGGGUUUGUAACAUGUGCCAGUUACUGACGUCAGCCAUUCAUGUUAUGAGCCCUUGUGCUGCAUAUUUAUUCAACUUCAAACUAAAUUCACCUGCAGAACAGUGUCAUGAUCGCUCCUGUGAACCUGAUCCUGAAGAAUGUGUACGCCCUCAGGUGAAAACCAUGCAGCUUUGACAGACAGGAAGCACUGUCUGUUUUCAGGGAAAACAAGGAUCCUAAUAGGCUACAGAAUGAUGUCCCUUUUCCUUUGACAAGUCCUCCUUGAAUUCGUCAUGAUGUCAAGGAGAGACAUGAUUAUAAGAAAACAUAACAUUUCUGUCAGUAUCGCUGGAAUAAGAAAUGUUGGGGCAGAAGGUUCCUGUCCUUUUCCCUGAGAAAGAAAGACCAUGCAUAAUUCAGUCUGUGGUGGAACUUAACAAACUACAUGUGUUCAAGCACUGUAGUUGUAAAAUAUGACAGUUGUAGUUACUACUGUACAGACGAAUAUUUUACAUACAAAACACUUGAUGAGCUAAUAAAAUAUAAUGCAUGUACAAGUUUCAGCACCAAACUAGACUCCUAAAAUAGCUCAAACUAGCUCGAACUUGACCAACUUCAACUGUGAAAUGCUGCUAACACAUUAUUGCAUCAUCCAUAAUUUAAUUUCAAUGCAUCAUGAAUAAUAUAAUUUAAAAAUAUAUUUUGUGCAUUAUGAGUACCUUUCAUUUUGAUACUUUAUGUGCAUUUUCUAAUGAUACACCAUACUUUUACAUAAGAGAAUCCAUGAUUUCAUAUUGCAGUUGGAUGAAAACCUCCUCCACCACUGGUUUGAGGCUACUUGUGCUCCAAAACUCACAACACUAACCGUCACUGUUAAUAAUUUUAUCUGAGUCAAAUGUACAAAUGUGACACGAGAUCUCACUCUGACUGUCCAACUUUCCUCUCUGACAGUGCAGCUGUCUGCAAGCAGGAAUAUAAAGUGCUCCAUGACUACUCACUUUGUUUUUACUACCAGAACAGCCACUACACUUACACCAACUUUUUUGCUCCAGUCUUUUUAAAAACACAAAUCUGCGAAUGGUUCUUUAAUGGUACUUUAUUUUAUAUAAAUAUAUAUACAUAUAAUAAGAGCUUUUAU